rnacentral:rRNA from 1 species
GACGUAGGGUGCAAGCGUUGUCCGGAUUUAUUGGGCGUAAAGAGCUCGUAGGCGGCUCGUCGCGUCGACCGUGAAAACCCGCAGCUUAACUGCGGGCCUGCGGUUGAUACGGGCGGGCUAGAGUUCGGUAGGGGAGACUGGAAUUCCUGGUGUAGCGGUGAAAUGCGCAGAUAUCAGGGGGAACACCGGUGGCGAAGGCGGGUCUCUGGGCCGAUACUGACGCUGAGGAGCGAAAGCGUGGGGAGCGAACAGG